ncrna:unclassified sequences AdoCbl variant RNA
UUCCUAAAAGCAUAGUGGGAAAGCGACGUGUAAUUCGUCCACAGUACUUGCUACGGUCAUAGUCCGAAUGCCACCUAGGAA